rnacentral:lncRNA from 1 species
UGACUUAGUUGAACGCACCUUCUUUUUGAAUCCCUUUGGUGACGAUAGUCCUGUAUUUUCUCCCCCACAGAGGACAGACAGCUUCUCCCGCAGUUGCCUGGGGAGGACUCCUAGAGGAGUGGUUUCCGAAUGUUUGGAGCAGUAAACUGCCAGUAGCCUUCAAAUUUUCUGUGGACCACAGACUUAUGCAUAACAGUGUGACUAGUCAUCUGUGCCAACAGGCACCUGAAGGAACUACAUGAAGGGGAGGCAUCAUCUUCUGCAGGCUGCUUGUGACACCGUGGGAAUCCUACCCAUGCACCUGCCUGUGUUGUGGUUCUCACAUGUAUUUGCCAUGACCAAAAAUACAAAGAACGUAAUAGG